rnacentral:lncRNA from 1 species
AAAGGCAUGAGGCUGUGCGCAGAAACAUUUCAUGCAGCAUGUUGCUUGGCGCAAAAGAGAAAAACAAAAGAAAGAGGAAAAAACAAAACAAAAGUCCAAAAAUCCGUAAACCAAUAAAGGGUUUGCCAUCGCCUGAAAGGUUUUUUUCCUUAACCGCCAAACCACAGGGUGAGGCUUUGUAACACCAACCAAGAACUCCAACUCGGCUCAUCUUGGUCUUCCUGUCGUACUCGUGAUUUUAAUUGCUCCUUCUUAGUGCCUGUUUUGGGGUGUGGAGUGCCAUCCUGUGCGCCCAACGCAGCCGCUUGGAUGCCAUCUGAACCGAAGGUCUCUUCGCCUUGAGGGCCUUGCCCAUAUUUUUUUUUUUCCUGAAUAAGAAAAGGCGAAACAAUAGAUGUCCAGAAAUACUGCUGUAAUUCACCAGAACAAACAUUUAUCAGAAUCGGGGCCAGCCUCCUCGCCAGCGGCAGACAUAAACUAUCUAAAUAAUGAAAUGCAUUAGGUAUUUGAAGGCGUACUCAGAGAAAAAGGCAGCAUCUUUUCAAGGUGGCAAAGCUUUCCAUCCUUUGGGCAAAUGGGAUGUAUUCAAAGGCUCGGGCGCAGAUUAAUGAGAACAGCACUUUAAAGGGGACUGGCCGAUCAUCUUUAACAAAAUGUGUUACUUUUAAAUGAAA